UCCCCAGACUCCUACGGGAGGCAGCAGUGAGGAAUAUUGGUCAAUGGGCUUACGCCUGAACCAGCCAAGUCGCGUGAGGGAAGACGGUCCUAUGGAUUGUAAACCUCUUUUGUCGGGGAGCAAAAGACGCCACGCGUGGCGUUCCGAGAGUACCCGAAGAAAAAGCAUCGGCUAACUCCGUGCCAGCAGCCGCGGUAAUACGGAGGAUGCGAGCGUUAUCCGGAUUUAUUGGGUUUAAAGGGUGCGUAGGCGGAAGGUUAAGUCAGCGGUAAAAUGUGGGUGCUCAACACCGGCCUGCCGUUGAAACUGCAUCCCUUGAGUGCGCGAGAAGUAUGCGGAAUGCGUGGUGUAGCGGUGAAAUGCAUAGAUAUCACGCAGAACUCCGAUUGCGAAGGCAGCAUACCGGCGCGCAACUGACGCUCAGGCACGAAAGCGUGGGUAUCGAACAGGAUUAGAUACCCCGGUAA
rnacentral:rRNA from 1 species